rnacentral:rRNA from 1 species
UACGUAGGGUGCAAGCGUUGUCCGGAAUUAUUGGGCGUAAAGAGCUCGUAGGCGGUCUGUUGCGUCCGCUGUGAAAACUCGGGGCUUAACCCCGAGCCUGCAGUGGAUACGGGCAGACUAGAGGUAGGUAGGGGAGAAUGGAAUUCCCGGUGUAGCGGUGAAAUGCGCAGAUAUCGGGAGGAACACCGGUGGCGAAGGCGGUUCUCUGGGCCUUACCUGACGCUGAGGAGCGAAAGCAUGGGGAGCGAACAGG